rnacentral:rRNA from 1 species
GACGUAGGGCGCAAGCGUUGUCCGGAUUUAUUGGGCGUAAAGAGCUCGUAGGCGGUUCGGCAAGUCGGAUGUGAAAUCUCCACGCUUAACGUGGAGGGGCCAUUCGAAACUGCCGUGACUCGAGUCCGGUAGGGGAGUGUGGAAUUCCCGGUGUAGCGGUGAAAUGCGCAGAUAUCGGGAGGAACACCAGUAGCGAAGGCAGCUCGCUGGGACGGUACUGACGCUAAGGCGCGAAAGCGUGGGGAGCGAACAGG